GACGAACGCUGGCGGCGUGCUUAACACAUGCAAGUCGAACGAUGAAGCCGGAGCUUGCUCUGGUGAAUUAGUGGCGAACGGGUGAGUAACACGUGAGUAACCUGCCCUUGACUCUGGGAUAACUGCUAGAAAUGGUAGCUAAUACCGGAUACGACCCUCGGAGGCAUCUCCAGGGGGUGGAAAGAAUUUCGGUCUAGGAUGGACUCGCGGCCUAUCAGCUAGUUGGUGAGGUAACGGCUCACCAAGGCGACGACGGGUAGCCGGCCUGGGAGGGUGACCGGCCACACUAGGACUGGGACACGGCCCAGACGCCUACGGGAGGCAGCAGUGGGGAAUAUGGCACAAGGGGCGCAAGCCUGAUGCAGCAACGCCGCGUGAGGGAUGACGGCCUGCGGGUUGUAAACCUCUUUUAGUAGGGAAGAAGCGAAAGUGACGGUACCUGCAGAAAAAGCACCGGCUAACUACGUGCCAGCCGCCGCCGUAA
rnacentral:rRNA from 1 species